rnacentral:tRNA from 3 species
GCCCGGAUAGCUCAGUCGGUAGAGCAGGGGAUUGAAAAUCCCCGUGUCCUUGGUUCGACUCCGAGUCCGGGCACCA